rnacentral:rRNA from 1 species
AUUGAACGCUGGCGGAAGGCCUAACAUACGCAAGUCGAGCGGAGCGGCGGACGGGGGAGUAACGCCUAGGAAUCUGCCUGGCAGUGGGGGAUAACGUCUGGAAACGGGCGCAAAUACCGCAUAUUAUCAGAUGAGCCUAGGUCGGAUUUGCCAGCUGGUUGGGUGAAGACCUACCAAGGCGACGCUCCGUAACUGGUGUGAGAGGAUGAUCAGUCACAGUGAACCUGAUACGCGGUCCAUACUGCUACGAAGGGCAGCAGUGGGGAAUAUUGGACAAUGGGCGAAAGCCUGAUCCAGCCAUGCCGCGUGUGUGAGGAAGGUCGUCGGAUUGUAAAGCCCUGUAAGUUGAUAGGCGUUACCAACAGAAUAAGCGCCGGCUAACUUCGUGCCGGCCGCCGCGGUAAUAC